ACUGACAGCCAUGGUUACCGCGGCUGCUGGCACGGAGUUAGCCGGUGCUUCUUCUGUGAGUGAUGUCCUUCCUGCCGGCUAUUAACCCGCAGGCCUUCUUCCUCACUGAAAGUGCUUUACAACCCGAAGGCCUUCUUCACACACGCGGCAUGGCUGGAUCAGGGUUGCCCCCAUUGUCCAAUAUUCCCCACUGCUGCCUCCCGUAGGAGUCUGGGCCGUGUCUCAGUCCCAGUGUGGCUGAUCAUCCUCUCAGACCAGCUACGGAUCGUCGCCUUGGUGAGCCGUUACCUCACCAACCAGCUAAUCCGACAUAGGCUCAUCCGAUAGCGCGAGGCCCGAAGGUCCCCCGCUUUCCCCCGUAGGGCGUAUGCGGUAUUAGCCUGGGUUUCCCCCAGGUUAUCCCCCACUACCGGGCAGAUUCCCUAUGCUAUACUCACCCGUCCGCCGCUCGCCACCAGGGAGCCAAGCUCCCCGUGCUGCCGCUCGACUUGCAUGUGUUAGGCCUGCCGCCAGCGUUCAAU
rnacentral:rRNA from 1 species